AUGGAUGGAUGGAUAGAUGGAUGGAUGGAUGUGUUCUGUGGGAUUCCAGCUGAACUCUGUCCUUGUCAGUGGGACUCGGGUCAGGGUGCCUUUCAGUGGUGUGGGUGGAUCUGGGGGGAAUAGCGCCCUCACAGUGAGCUCCGCUCUGUCUAAAGGUGAGAAGGAUGCAGACAGCAUGUCAUGGAGGUUUGUUAAAAGGACUAGGUGUUAUAAUCCCUGGUGUUUGCACCACUUCUGAUUCGGGAGUUCUUGAUGGCUGCUAUGAGGUUGUACCAGCGGGACACAUCGUCAGUUGUGUAUCUCAGCAUCACGGGGUGUUUCAGGCAGUUAUCACAAUACACCCUCUGCUGAGGCAGGCCCACCACAGGUUGAUCAAGCCUGGGUGUGUGUCCCAAGGUUAGCUGUUCCUCUUAGCAGUCCAGGUGGUGUCACUCCUCUUCAGCCACAGCCAGUGGCUCGUCCUCUCGGUGGUGCUGGCCAGCUCUUUGAUGGCUUUUUUCUGUGAGCUUGUCCCCUGACUCCGACCUCCCUAAGGAGUUGUGCUGUUGUGUUGGCUACAAAACCCCUACAUCCCACCUCCACUGGGCACACCCUUAUCUUCCAGCCUCUGUCCUCUGCCUCAGCUGCUAGGUUGGAGUAGCACAGCUUCUUAGGCUCAUACGCUUCUUUGAUGGGUCCUCCCAGGGAACUGUCAGUUCUAUGAUGUAGGCGAGCUGGUGGGAAUUAGACCAGAAGACCAGGUCUGGUUGCAGGGUAGUUGUUGCGAUCUCCAGAGGGAAAAUGAGCCUCUGAUCUAGGUCGACUUGCAUAUGCCAGUCCCUGGCUGCAUUCGGUGGGGUCAGAUCAGGGUUUGAGAGGCUAACCCUCGACUUGUACCCAUCCAAACAAUGGUUGGUGUCGGUGAACAUCCUAGUUGUUGAGACGUUGGGCGUUGAUGGAUACCCUCUUGCACUCAAGUUUAUCGGCUAGACCCCUGAGGAUCUGGUUGUGUCUCCAUGUGCAUCUGCCUUGAGUGAGGCUUGUCCUACAGCCAACCAAGAUGUGCUUGAGUGUUGCAGGGGAUGUACACAGGGGGCAAGAUGGGGAGUAAUAUGUGUGUCUGCGUACCACCCUGGACCCACAGUGGAGUCCACAGUGACAAGGACCAGAGUUCAGUGGAAUCACACUGGGAGGGGGGAGGAAGAUUUCACGGGCUGCUCCACAGCGGUGGCCCAUGACAAGCUCCAAGUUCUGACGACUCUGGGCCUCAAACCUGAAAGAAGGAUGACCCCAAAGACGAGACACAGCUCCAGCAAGGACAUGAAGACGAGGAACCGAGUCCACCAGAGACGACCCUAGAGACGACCACCAGCUUAUGAGACAACAGGACAACUUUAUAAGGAGCAGAAUGCACUGGGAUGGAACAUCGAGGAGAGGAAAGUCGUUAAGAAGAACAGGAUGAUGGGAACCAGAUCCAGGACCAGUGCAUGACUAAUACAAGAGCUCUCUCUGCAAGACACCCAGUAAAAUGAAGAAUCAGAUCAGGACAAGAGACUGGACAAGAGCAGCCCCAGCAUGUGAAUACAGACUGUGGAAGAGGGGAUGCUUAUUAUAGUGACACAAAAGGAAGAAGUCGGUGUACAAAGAGAAAAUCCUACACAGUCACAGAGAGAACAUGAAGAGGAAGAACCAGAUGACCAGCAGAAUCUAAGAAGACAAAGAAGCAGUUGGAGGAGCUUCCAGACGAUUAGCAACAGAAGAAACGUGUCCGAGAACAGAAAGAAGAAGACCAACAUCAAAGAGAGAAGAAGAAGAAGAAACAGACCCAAGAAGAAGUAAGAAAAGCUCCAGAUUACUCCAAAGGUGUCUCUGGAUCUGGAGCUGCACGUUUAGAUCUGCUUUUCCUGGCCUCACCAACCUGCAAAGUUCAUGUUCUCUCCCUCCUCUGUACCCUCGUCCCAAAGGGAGUUUUUUUUUUCAACUUCCUGGCAACAGGAAGUUUUUUUCCUCCACGCUGCGACCAAAUGCUUGAUCUGAUCAAAAUGCAAUAAGAGAGAGUCUUAAAUGAAAAGUCAAAACAAAAGAACUGUAUCCGUUUUGUUUUGCAGAUUCAACGACUUUAUAAAUUUUCACCGGUCAAAAAGUUGUGGCUGCCAGGGCUGCAUCAGUCAGAAUGCAGUACAAGGAGUUCCCUGUUUCUCCUUUAUUUCUUAACAGAGGUUACACAUAUGCAUCUCUAUGUGUGUAGUUCUAUAAACAAGAAACAAAUGGAAAGAAGCCAACAAUAAGUAUACAAAACUACAUAAACAUGGAACAGCAACUAUCAUCUUGCAUAUAAACAAAGAACAUUUUUAAUCUACUGGUAAAUGUACAGCCACAAGGAAUCAUGACAAGCAACACCAAAUAUACAUCUGAACAGUCCCAGCAAACACUCUCCUGCAGGACCAUGCAGAGAGCUUUGGAGGGGCAGGUGCUCAAAGGUAAAAAGGGGGCGCAUGAAACACCAUAUAGAAACAAACCUUACACUAUAAGG